AUAAAGGCAAACUGUCAGAAAUGGCAGGACGCAAAAUCAUGGGCCUAAGGUUUUUGAAACUAUGGUUGCCAGACUGC
rnacentral:ncRNA from 1 species